CAACCAGCACCUCAAGUGGUCAGGAUGAUUAUUGGGCCUAAAGCAUCCGUAGCCGGCUCUGUAAGUUUUCGGUUAAAUCUGUACGCUCAACGUACAGGCUGCUGGGAAUACUGCAGGGCUAGGGAGUGGGAGAGAUAGACGGUACUCGGGAGGAAGUGGUAAAAUGCUUUGAUCUCUCGAUGACCACCUGUGGCGAAGGCGGUCUAUCAGAACACGUCCGACGGUGAGGGAUGAAAGCUGGGGGAGCAAACCGGAGUAGAAACCCCUGUAGUCC
rnacentral:rRNA from 1 species